rnacentral:rRNA from 1 species
CCCUUAGAUGUUCUGGGCCGCACGCGCGCUACACUGACUGGUGCAACAAGUGUCGCUCCUUGGCCGAUAGGCCUGGGCAAUCUUUGAACGCCAGUCGUGAUGGGGAUAGAUUCUUGCAAUUUUUGAUCUUCAACGAGGAAUUCCUAGUAAACGCGAGUCAUCAACUCGCAUUGAUUACGUCCCUGCCCUUUGUACACACCGCCCGUCGCACCUACCGAUUGAAUGGUCCGGUGAACCCUCCGGAUCGGCUCGCGCCAACGCAAGUUGAGCAAAGGCCGAGAAGUUGGGUAAACCUUACCAUUUAGAGGAGGGUGAAGUCGUAACA